rnacentral:rRNA from 1 species
AGAGUUUGAUCCUGGCUCAGGAUGAACGCUAGCGACAGGCUUAACACAUGCAAGUCGAGGGGCAGCAUAAAAGUAGCAAUACUUUGGUGGCGACCGGCGCACGGGUGAGUAACGCGUAUGCAACCUACCUAUCAGAGGGGAAUAACCCGGCGAAAGUCGGACUAAUACCGCAUAAAACAGGGGCACCGCAUGGUGAUAUUUGUUAAAGAAAUUCGCUGAUAGAUGGGCAUGCGUUCCAUUAGGUAGUUGGUGAGGUAACGGCUCACCAAGCCGACGAUGGAUAGGGGAACUGAGAGGUUGGUCCCCCACACUGGUACUGAGCCACGGACCAGACUCCUACGGGAGGCAGCAGUGAGGAAUAUUGGUCAAUGGGCGGGAGCCUGAACCAGCCAAGUCGCCGUGAAGGAAGAAGGAUCUAUGGUUCGUAAACUUCUUUUGCAGGGGAAUAAAGUGCAGGACGUGUCCUGUUUUGUAUGUACCCUGAGAAUAAGGAUCGGCUAACUCCGUGCCAGCCGCCGC